rnacentral:rRNA from 1 species
AUACGUAGGGAGCAAGCGUUGUCCGGAAUUACUGGGCGUAAAGGGCGCGUAGGCGGGAAUUUAAGUUAGAUGUGAAAGCACCGGGCUCAACCCGGUGACUGCAUUUAAAACUGGGUUUCUUGAGGGCAGGAGAGGAAAGUGGAAUUCCUAGUGUAGCGGUGAAAUGCGUAGAGAUUAGGAAGAACACCAGUGGCGAAGGCGCUUCUCUGGACUGUAACUGACGCUGAGGCUCGAAAGCGUGGGGAGC